ACAGGGAAAAAGCCUUCAAAAGUUGGAACCUGUUUGGCCUAGCUAAACCGGAUUGUAAACUGUAGAAGUGUUUUCCAGGCAAGCCGGACCGAUAAGUCCUUUGGAACAGGGCAUCAUAGAGGGUGAGAAUCCCGUCUUCGGUCUGAGCAUUUGCCUUUUGCGAUACACUUUCAAAGAGUCAGGUUGUUUGGGAAUGCAGCCUAAAUUGGGUGGUAAAUCUCACCUAAAGCUAAAUAUUGGCGAGAAACCGAUAGCGAACAAGUACCGUGAGGGAAAGAUGAAAAGAACUUUGAAAAGAGAGUUAAACAGUAUGUGAAAUUGUUAAAAGGGAACCGUUUGGAGCCAGACUGGCUUGUCUGUAAUCAGUCUAAGCUUCGGCUUGGAUGCACUUGCAGGCUAUGCCUGCCAACGACAAUUUGGCUUGAGGGAAAAAACUAAGGGAAAUGUGGCCCAUCCGUGGGUGUUAUAGUCCCUUAGAAAAUACCUUGGGCUGGAUUGAGGUACGCAGCGAAUGCUAUUUGGCGAGUUGGCUGGGAAUAUUUUCUGAGGUGCUUUGGUACUGAGGUUGAUAUUCCUAGUUACACUUCUAUUCGCUUAGGUUGUUGGCUUAAUGACUCUAAAUGACCCGUCUUGAAACACGGGACC
rnacentral:rRNA from 1 species